CCUACGGGAGGCAGCAGUGGGGAAUAUUGCGCAAUGGGCGAAAGCCUGACGCAGCGACGCCGCGUGUGGGAUGAAGGUCUUCGGAUCGUAAACCCAUGUCAGCCGGGAAGGACGGUCACUGUGCUAAUCAGCAGUGAAUUGACGGUACCCGCAAAGGCAGCACCGGCUAACCGGGUGCCAGCAGCCGCGGUAAUACGGAGGGUGCGAGCGUUAAUCGGAAUUACUGGGCGUAAAGGGCUCGUAGACGGCAUGGCAAGUCUAGGGUGAAACCUCGGCGCUCAACGUGGGAACUGCCUUGGAAACUGGCAAACUGGAGUGUGUGAGAGGAUAGUGGAAUUCCAGGUGUAGGAGUGAAAUCCGUAGAUAUCUGGAGGAACAUCAGUGGCGAAGGCGACUAUCUGGCACAUAACUGACGCUGAGGAGCGAAAGCGUGGGUAGCAAACAGGAUUAGAUACACUAGUAGUC
rnacentral:rRNA from 1 species